GAUGAAGAACGCAGCGAAAUGCGAUACGUAAUGUGAAUUGCAGAAUUCAGUGAAUCAUCGAGUCUUUGAACGCACAUUGCGCCCCCUGGUAUUCCGUGGGGCAUGCCUGUCCGAGCGUCAUUGCUGCCCUCAAGCACGGCUUGUGUGUUGGGCCUCCGUCCUCCUCCCGGGGGACGGGCCCGAAAGGCAGCGGCGGCACCGCGUCCGGUCCUCGAGCGUAUGGGGCUUCGUCACCCGCUCUUGUAGGCCCGGCCGGCGCUUGCCGACACAUCAAUCUUUUUUCCAGGUUGACCUCGGAUCAGGUAGGGAUACCCGCUGAACUUAAGCAUAUCAAUAAGCGGAGGA
rnacentral:misc_RNA from 1 species